CUUGAGUUAUAAACAUAAGAGGUCCAGCCUGCCCAGUGAUUAAAUUUAACGGCCGCGGUAUCCUAACCGUGCGAAGGUAGCGUAAUCACUUGUUCUUUAAAUGAGGACUAGUAUGAAUGGCACCACGAAGGUUUUACUGUCUCCUUUUCCUAAUCAGUGAAACUAAUCUUCCCGUGAAGAAGCGGGAAUAAACGAAUAAGACGAGAAGACCCUAUGGAGCUUUAAACACAAUAACAAAUACUACUUUAAACAAAAAUUUCUUAAUGACUUACUCCCUGGUAUUAUGAUUAUUAGUUUUAGGUUGGGGUGACCGCGGAGAAAAACACAACCUCCACAUUGAAUGAUAAAAUUCUAAGCAAAGAAUUACAUUUCCACGUAUCAAUACAUUGACAUCAAUUGACCCAAUUAUUUUGAUCAACGAAC
rnacentral:rRNA from 1 species